GCCCAUUCCCCGGGGUGCCAGGCAACUGGCUGAGAGCGCGCCCGCGCAACCCGCUGAACCUGAUCCGGUUGACACCGGCGGAGGGAGGGAGCGUGUGAGGCAG
rnacentral:ncRNA from 2 species